GGCCGGACUCCGGUUGAUCCUGCCGGACCCUACUGCUAUCGGGGUAAGGCUAAGCCAUGCAAGUCGGAGGUCCCAGGUUAUCCUGGGGCCUGGCGUACAGCUGAGUAACGCGUGGCUAACCUACCCUGCGGAGGGGGAUAACCCCGGGAAACUGGGGAUAAACCCCCACAGGUGAGCAGUUCUGGAACGACUGCUCGCUGAAAACCCUCUGCGGGGAUACUCUGCAGAGGGGCCGCAGGAUGGGGCUGCGUCCUAUCAGGUAGUUGGUGGGGUAACGGCCCACCAAGCCUGAGACGGGUAGGGGCCCUGAGAGGGGGAGCCCCCAGAUGGACUCUGAGACAAGAGUCCAGGCCCUACGGGGCGCAGCAGGCGCGAAAACUCCGCAAUGGGCGAAAGCCCGACGGGGUUACCCCG
rnacentral:rRNA from 1 species